UGGCUCAGGACGAACGCUGGCGGCGUGCUUAACACAUGCAAGUCGAACGGUGAACUCCGCUUGCGGGGGGAUCAGUGGCGAACGGGUGAGUAACACGUGGGCAACCUGCCCUCAGCUCUGGGAUAACUCCAAGAAAUUGGGGCUAAUACCGGAUAUGACCGCUGACCGCAUGGUCUGGUGGUGGAAAGAUUUAUCGGCUGAGGAUGGGCCCGCGGCCUAUCAGCUUGUUGGUGGGGUAGUGGCCUACCAAGGCGACGACGGGUAGCCGGCCUGAGAGGGUGACCGGCCACACUGGGACUGAGACACGGCCCAGACUCCUACGGGAGGCAGCAGUGGGGAAUAUUGCGCAAUGGGCGAAAGCCUGACGCAGCGACGCCGCGUGGGGGAAGACGGCCUUCGGGUUGUAAACCUCUUUCAGCAGGGACGAAGCGAAAGUGACGGUACCUC
rnacentral:rRNA from 1 species